rnacentral:rRNA from 1 species
GUAGGUGGCAAGCGUUGUCCGGAAUUAUUGGGCGUAAAGCGCGCGCAGGCGGUCCUUUAAGUCUGAUGUGAAAGCCCACGGCUCAACCGUGGAGGGUCAUUGGAAACUGGGGGACUUGAGUACAGAAGAGGAAAGCGGGAUUCCAAGUGUAGCGGUGAAAUGCGUAGAGAUUUGGAGGAACACCAGUGGCGAAGGCGGCUUUCUGGUCUGUAACUGACGCUGAGGCGCGAAAGCGUGGGGAGCAAACAGGGAUUAGAUACCCUGGUAGUCCACGCCGUAAGCGAUGAGUGCUAAGUGUUAGGGGGUUUCCGCCCCCUUAGUGCUGCAGCUAACGCAUUAAGCACUCCGCCUGGGGAUACGGCCGCAAGGCUG